rnacentral:misc_RNA from 1 species
CACCCGCCCGUCACGUCAUGAAAGUCGGUAACACCCGAAGCCGGUGGCCUAACCCCUUGUGGGAGGGAGCCGUCGAAGGUGGGAUCGGCGAUUGGGACGAAGUCGUAACAAGGUAGCCGUACCGGAAGGUGCGGCUGGAUCACCUCCUUUCUAAGGAGCACCACGAGACUCAGACCCGCCCACAUCGUGUGGGAGUCACGGGAUUUCUGGGCGAUUCGUUGGAUGGCCUUUCACCUGUAGUGGGUGGGGGUCUGGUGCACGACAAACUUUGAGCUGUUCGGCGGGGAUGCCGGCGGUGAGUCACUGAACACACUAUUGGGCUUUGAGACAACAGGCCCGCAGUUCCCUGGCCCCUGUGUGGGGUGGGAGGCGUGUUGUUGCUCCACUUUGGUGGUGGGGUGUGGUGUUUGAUUUGUGGAUAGUGGUUGCGAGCAUCUAGCACGCAAAUGUUUGCGUCGGUCCCGUAGGGGUUCGGCGUGGUUUGUGUGUUGAUGUGCAAUUUCUUUUUUCGAAUUGGUUUUUUGUGUUGUAAGUGUUUAAGAGCRCAUGGUAGAUGCCUUGGCCAUCGAGAAAAA